rnacentral:tRNA from 1 species
GGGCAGGUAGCUCAGUCGGUAGAGCAGCAGACUGAAAAUCUGCGUGUCGGCAGUUCAAUUCUGCCCCUGCCCA